rnacentral:rRNA from 2 species
UCUACGGGAGGCAGCAGUGGGGAAUAUUGCACAAUGGGCGCAAGCCUGAUGCAGCCAUGCCGCGUGUAUGAAGAAGGCCUUCGGGUUGUAAAGUACUUUCAGCGGGGAGGAAGGCGAUGCGGUUAAUAACCGCGUCGAUUGACGUUACCCGCAGAAGAAGCACCGGCUAACUCCGUGCCAGCAGCCGCGGUAAUA